UACGUAGGGUCCGAGCGUUGUCCGGAAUUACUGGGCGUAAAGCGCUCGUAGGUGGUUUGUCGCGUUGUUCGUGAAAACUCACAGCUCAACUGUGGGCGUGCGGGCGAUACGGGCGGACUAGAGUACUGCAGGGGAGACUGGAAUUCCUGGUGUAGCGCUGGAAUGCGCAGAUAUCAGGAGGAACACCGGUGGCGAAGGCGGGUCUCUGGACCAUUACUGACGCUGAUGCACGAAAGCUAGGGGAGCAAACAGG
rnacentral:rRNA from 1 species